CUAAGUGUCCAGCCGCCACUUGUUACUAGUUUCUCUCGGCUUUUGAACGUUUUUCAUGGAGAAUGUUAGAAGCACUCUUUCUUUUCUUUUGAAAUGAAAGGGUGAUUUUUAGCUUUGCUUAAUAUAAGAAAGCGCUGAAGUAAUUGAUGAAGAAAGAGCUCGAUGCUAAUCUCAAUUUACUAAUUUACUCAUUGCCUUUUUAUUUGGUUUUCAUGCACUUUUAAUUGAAGUUUAUUCAAGCAGCUAUUACGGAGAAAGAAAAUGAGAGCUCAACGUUAAUUUCUUUUAUUUGGUUGCAUUUGUUAUUUCGCCCUUUUCAUUUCAGCAGCAGCAUAGAAGAGAGCGGUGCAGCAGCGUUGAUUCAAUUUGGAAGGCAUGGGCUUCACGAGGAGAGAGGUGGGACGUGUUGGAGCUGCCACCUAAGAAAAGAGGAUAUGAUUCUCAAUUGAAAGGGAGAGCAGCCGCCACCGAGAAGCUUCUUCACUUUUCUUUUUGUGAGCACACGGGGAAUGGAGGGAGCACACGCUGCACGUUGGAGAGAAGCGAAUUUCCUUUUCUUUCUUUAGAGUGGCACGGUGAAGCAAAGUAGAGGCGCUAAUUCGUUUUUGGCUGGAGAAGAGUGGUGUCACGGCCUGGAUGGAGGAUGCACGCUAAUUCAAAAAGGAAGAAAACACGCGUUGAAUUCAUUCUUCUUGUUGAAACGGUGCAUACAAGAGGUAAGUCAUUUUUACUUGGAGAAAAGAGAGGUGUGGAUUUAUAGGAGUAGGUGUACGUGACGUGGAGCUGGAAACGGUGAUUUCAUUUGGAUGGAGUGCAAGCCGUGAUGUAUCUUGGGGCAGCAGCACGUUAGGGAGAAAGUGGUGUGCAUAGUUACGUCCUGAAAGAGAAAGCUCCAAAGGGGAAAUUGUUGGAUAACAUUUUGGGACUUAAAGAGAAAAUAUAAGAGGGCGGUGCAGCAAGGAAAAAGGGGGAGCAACUUUGGCGUGCUACGUCCAGUAGAGGCAGUAGCUGGUCCAAAAGGAGGAAGCGGCCCAUGGGUAAAUCAUUCUUGGAGCAUCCACCAGCACGUGAAGAGGGGAUUCAUCCUUCAUUUUGAGAGCCGCCAGGCGGAGAGGAGAGGCUGACGUGGAGAGAAAGAAAGAAGCUCAUGGACACUGAAGAUGGAGGGUUACAACUGAUUUCUUUUCCUCAUUCAAGUAGGAAGCUUGCAUUCAUUUCUUUAGGAAAAGCUCAUCUUCAUCACGCUGGCAGAGUGCACACGGGUUGCUCCAGCAGAUUUCUCUUUUCUUUCCUUUAUUUAUGCUUGAACUAUGAAGUAUCUUUUAUAUUCUGAUAUAACUGAAUGCAUCAUUUAAGAAGCCACUGAUUUUACA